UCCUCUUAUUAUAAUUUAAUUUCGACUUAAAUUUUUGAUUUAUUUUUAAUCUAAGAGAAU
rnacentral:tRNA from 1 species